AAGCAGGGUGAAGUGAAGCAGUGACUUCAUUUUUUUGAAAAAUUUAAAUGAGAGACUUGCAGAGAUCAACCACUGUUGAUAGCGAGAUGCUAAAUAAAUCUGAAAGACAAAACCAGUGAUUGACUGGCAAAGAUGAUCAGAUCAGUAGAAACUAUUAUUGAUUACAAUAUGAGUAAACCAUAGAAAACAUUUUUUGGUUGUAGAAUAACACCUGAAGAAAUGUACCUUACCUUAGCAACAGGUACCAAAAUGGAGUUAAGGAACAAAUGAAGAAAUUGUUGCAUUUUUCAAGUAAUAAAGAAAUUUUUACUAUUAUACCGGGCAAAGAAAAUAAUAAUGUAUCCAUUGUGCAAUUUCUGAACAAGAUGGCCACUGUGUUGAAGAAAGUACUCUAUUAACUCUUCGAGGCCGUCUACUCUUGCAAAGAAACAAGAAAUUGCGCAAAUGCGUCCUUGCCUACUCUUAUGUCGCGAAAAUUCGAAUUGGCCGGCCGAUUGACCGAGAUCGCCGUGCACAAUGAACCGUGAAGACAGUUUUUGCAAAAGUGGUUUUCAAAAGAAAAGAAGAAGACGGCGAAAAGAAGAAUAUUUGAACUCUGAAUCAACGGCAGACACUUGACAAUCCUGUUUCCUGCGAAGGACUCGUGCUGUUCGCUCGAUUUAGCGGGCACAAAGGUCACAUUCUAGUUCGUGUCCUCAGUGGCUUCCUACUUUUUCAGAAUUCGUUUCAAAACUUAACAUGGCCGUUCACGGCCAACAAGUGAUGUGAACCAAAG